rnacentral:tRNA from 1 species
GCAACUCAGUUGGUAGAGCGCACCCUUGGUAAGGGUGAGGUCCCCAGUUCGACUCUGGGUAUCAGCA